rnacentral:rRNA from 1 species
UUACGGGAGGCAGCAGUGGGGAAUAUUGGACAAUGGGGGCAACCCUGAUCCAGCCAUGCCGCGUGAGUGAUGAAGGCCUUCGGGUUGUAAAGCUCUUUUGGCGGGGACGAUGAUGACGGUACCCGCAGAAUAAGCCCCGGCUAACUUCGUGCCAGCAGCCGCGGUAAGACGAAGGGGGCUAGCGUUGUUCGGAAUUACUGGGCGUAAAGGGCGCGUAGGCGGUCUUGUUAGUCAGGCGUGAAAGCCCUGGGCUCAACCUGGGAUGUGCGCUUGAUACUGCGAGGCUUGAGUGCAGGAGAGGAUGGUGGAAUUCCCAGUGUAGAGGUGAAAUUCGUAGAUAUUGGGAAGAACACCGGUGGCGAAGGCGGCCAUCUGGACUGCAACUGACGCUGAGGCGCGAAAGCGUGGGGAGCAAACAGGAUUAGAUACCCCGGU